CGGGCCAAUAUUUCCCCGUUGCUCGCUCGAUCUUCAGAACGUUCCACUUUUCGGACGUUAAAAAUAAAAGACUUGCACAAUUAUAGCUAAAAAAAGACUGUUGACAAAGAAGAAUACAAUUUUUUUAACCGAAUGAAAUGUCACUUACACGUGCAUUUAGGUUAGGAAAUAUCUUUUUUUAACAUGUUUUUUUUCUCGUAAGGUAACAGUAACCAUAAAUAUUUUGACAAUUAGCUUUAGACAUUUUGCUAUCAAUUUAAUUGUUUAUAAGAACAAGCUUGUUCCGUCGAAAAUCAAGCUACGGUUUGGCAAUGUGUAUUUCAUUAAUUCCGAGAUCUGAAGCUUUCGGGCUUAGAAUCGAAUUUGGUCACCGUGUCACGUUCGCCGCCUCGCGCCGGGGACAUCGGUAGCGGCGGCUGCUUUCACCUGGUAACUGAAUUCACUUUCAAAAUUAUCAUCGUACCUCGGUCAGUGGGAGAUCCGGCGCAUCGCGCUCGUCCGAUUCUCGACGAGCGAGAAAAUCGGGAUGUACCGUUGACGGCCGUGGGACGCUAAUCUUUGUGUGGCAAGGAAUUCUUCCAACGCGACGCGGGUCCAGCAGUUUCGGAACAACUAUAGCGAGUAAAGAAACGGUAUCUGUACGAUGCAUAAAGAAGAAAGAGAGACAACAAUAAAGCCGAUACGUGACUUGGAAAUUACAUUGGGCAAUAGGAGAUUAAAUCGCAUACAAACGAUCGAAAUAGCAUCUCAUAUAAUUCAAAUGUUAUGCAAGCUGCCGGGAACGUUAUGCAAUUGGGACGGACGAAAAAGGGAGGGCGAAGCUUUUAAAAGUUCCCUAUAAAAAUGCGGGGCGCUCUCCGCGCUCGCGCUAUCUUUGUUCCUUACAUAAACAUUGUGCAAGACCGGGGUAUCAUGCAAUUGCAAUAAAUAAAGCUAAGAAUAGCGUUGAUAUUUGCGUCGCUCCGCCGAGUUCCGUUCGCCUUGUAUCGCGUAUAUACACGAUACGGACUUUCUAUUUCGCCGAUGGUAUGAAUCAACUUCGCGACGCGAAGGCUAAAAGAAAAAGAAACGUUACGACGUUUUAGGGUUCCCUUCCCUCGCGUUCCCCGGUGAUAAAGGAGUGUGAACCUGAACUCGGUAGGAAGACUGGAGCGGCGAAAGGUAUAUACAGAAUGCCUCAGACCUACCGGGUGGCCCCGCAAGAACUGCGAAUUCUCCGAAGAUGCGAUAGAAUUUUUCAGGAAAGAAUUUUAAUAAUAGAAUUCUUGAUAUGAAUAUUUUUGUAAAAUUAUUAUAAUAUCGACGAAAGAUUAGAAAUGCCGAGAUAUAAAUACCGUAAAUAAAUUUCGCGAUUCGAAUUUACAA